rnacentral:rRNA from 1 species
GUUUCUUCGGAAACGAGUAAAGCGGCGGACGGGUGAGUAACGCGUAGGAAUCUACCAUUCAGUGGGGGAUAGCUCGGGGAAACUCGAAUUAAUACCGCAUAUACCCUAAGGGGGAAAGAGGGCCUAUCCUUGGAAGCUCUUGCUGUUUGAUGAGCCUGCGUGAGAUUAGUUUGUUGGUGAGGUAAUGGCUCACCAAGGCUACGAUCUCUAGCUGGUCUGAGAGGACGAUCAGCCACACUGGGACUGAGACACGGCCCAGACUCCUACGGGAGGCAGCAGUGGGGAAUAUUGGACAAUGGGGGCAACCCUGAUCCAGGCAUGCCGCGUGUGUGAAGAAGGCCUUCGGGUUGUAAAGCACUUUAGGUAAGGAAGAAAAGUCAUUGGUUAAUACCCAAUGACCAUGACAUUACUUACAGAAUAAGGACCGGCUAACUCCGUGCCAGCAGCCGCGGUAAUACGGAGGGUCCAAGCGUUAAUCGGAAUUACUGGGCGUAAAGCGCGCGUAGGCGGUUUGACAAGUUGGGUGUGAAAUCCCCGGGCUUAACCUGGGAACUGCAUUCAAAACUUUUAAACUGGAGUACGGGAGAGGAGAGUAGAAUUCAUGGUGUAGCGGUGAAAUGCGUAGAUAUCAUGAGGAAUACCAAUGGCGAAGGCAACUCUCUGGACCGUAACUGACGCUGAGGUGCGAAAGCGUGGGUAGCAAACAGGAUUAGAUACCCUGGUAGUCCACGCCGUAAACGAUGACAACUAGCCGUUGGACUUUCGGGUUCAGUGGCACAGCUAACGCAUUAAGUUGUCCGCC